GUGUCAGCAGCCGCGGUAAUACAUGGGGUGCAAACGUUGCUCGGAAUUAUUGGGCGUAAAGCGCGCGUAGGCGGUUACUCAAGUCGGAUGUGAAAGCCCUCGGCUUAACUGAGGAAGUGCACCCGAAACUGAGUAGCUAGAGUACUAAAGAGGGUCGCGGAAUUCCCGGUGUAGAGGUGAAAUUCGUAGAUAUCGGGAGGAACACCGGUGGCGAAGGCGGCGACCUGGGUAGAUACUGACGCUGAGGCGCGAAAGCGUGGGGAGCAAACAGGAUUAGAUACCCUGGUAGUCC
rnacentral:rRNA from 1 species